GAGCACCGUGGUGACCAAACGAAUGGGACAGACCUGCAUUUUUUCACAUUUUUGUCAUAGUGCAGUUCAACUAUUCUCAAACCUCAAACCACCAUCAGAUAUAUAAAAGGGGUAUUCCAAGUUCAGUUUUCCAGAGAACAAACUCAAAAACAAAUGUUCAGAGAAGGUCAAAUCCUCCCAAAAUGAGGGUUCAGAGAAGACAGGGAGGGUCAAUACCUACAGGAUGGUAGAGAGCCUUAGGGAGGAGGGAGAUCUCAAUGUUUUCUGGCGUCGAUCUGUGUUGGAUGGUGCGCAGAUGAUGGGCGGUGACCCAUUUUUGCUGGUUGGAGCGUUGCCCUGCGGCCGAAGGGUGGUGCGAGUAAGGUGGAAGAAGGUCGCGGUGCAAGGGGAAGAAGGUCGCGGUGGCAGGGGGAGAAGUUCGUGGCGGCAAGGGGAGGACCUGAGUGCGGGGGAUCCCGAGUGGCAGCUUUCGUGG
rnacentral:lncRNA from 1 species